UCAUCUUUAUUAUUUUAAUUGUUGGUAUCGGCGGCAGCAAUGGAUUUCAGUCCGCUCACAGACGCUUUAGCUUCCAAAUCCCACGAAAAGAUCGCUGAUAUCUUGAUGAACUUAUGCUCAAGGCUACCGCAGAGCUGGAGGAGGCUCCAUUCGAGGAAGAAUGGCCUUUUGCUAUCCAUCUUCUCUCCCAUAUUUAUGCCAACGAUAUUAACAGCGCAAGAUUUCUGUGGAAAUCAAUACCGUCAACGGUGAAAGAGAUGCAACCAGGAGUGGUUGCGGCAUGGAGAAUUGGUCAGGGGUUAUGGACGUGUGACUAUGCAGCUGUGCACGAGGCCAUCCGUGCUUUUCACUGGUCUCAACAAACUCAAUCGCUUGUUGCUGCUUUCUCAGAGAUUUACACCGAGAGGAUGUGCUUUCUGCUUAUUCAACAGUCGGCAUCCAAGAUACAGCUCUCUUUCUGGGAAUGAAUGAAGAUGAUGCUGCAAGUUGUAAGAUUCUGAUACUCCAUUCUCACUUCUUCUUUUUUUCUGUUAUGGGAUGUCAAUAUUGAUGAGUAGUGACUCUGUGCUUUGGCACUUUAAGUCAUACAGGAGUGGGAUUAGUGCUUAGUUUCAACAAUUUAGCUUCUCCAUGGUAAAAGAAGAGAGAAAAUAGAAGAAAUAGAAUUACCACCAACAAUAAAACCAUGAUAACAAUACAAGAGAAAGUGAGAGGUGCUUUCAAAAGCAUCGAUGAUUAUUGGGCCAAACAGAAGCUGGCAAGCACUGAUCAGUGUCUGACUAGAGAUUACUAGGGGGAAUUUCAAAGGAUGUCCCAACCAUCUUUAAAGCAAAUGCUCAACCAAAGAAAACUUUUCUUCAGGAAGUUCAGUUAAUGUUUGAAAAAGAAGAGAUGAACUUCUCCAGAUCUCCAAUUGGGAGCCAAUGGCUUUAUGGUUUUCAGAUUAGCACAAAAUGACGGAACCCUGGAUCUCUCGCAAUGUCAAAAGGGCGAGUGCAGCAGAAAAAUGGUUUUGUUUUUUGAAUUUCAAAAUGAGAGAACUGGAAACACCAUGCUAACUUUCUAACUUAAUUGGAAGGCGUGGGUAUAUUCGUGAUUCAAGGUCCUGUUGGUCAAAUCUUGAUAUUGAGAUUGAUUUUGAGUCUCUGAGUGGGCGGGCCUGCGGAAUAUGAUGGUAGGUUCUACAGAGAUCAUGACCUUUCCCUAUGGUGAAGGUUUAAAUUUUUUAUCACGUUAUUUCAAGCAAAGCUUCUGUCCUAAAUAGGUUAGUAAUCAGUUGAUUCUCUUGCAGUUACAACAUGAAUAGAACUUGAUUGUUGUGAACAUGAUAAGAGCUUAGGAUAGUUAAGACAUUUUGUCUUUUACCUAUUGCUUUCUGGCAUAACAAACUCGGACAUGGUCUAAACUCUUUCUGAUUUUUGUUAUCGUAUGCAGAUGUAAUGCAGCAGGGUUGGGUUGUCGAUCCUGCUUCUCGAAUGCUUAUUGUGAAAAAGCAGCCUGUUGCAACAGAGCAGAAACUGGAUCCUAGUAAACUACAGCGCUUGACAGAAUAUGUGUUCCACUUAGAGCAUUAAUAGAACUCUAAAACACUACCAACUUCUACUGAAAGUCUUCAUAUUCUGAUCACUGGUUGUGAUGAGUAAAAUCUUUUGAAGAUGUAUAGUGCUUCAAUGUGCAGCAAGGAAGCUGAAAGAAUUGGUUUGCCUUCUAAUUGAGGGUCUUCCUUUGGUUGUUUUUGCUUGGAGUUGUAAACACUUCUAUAGUUGAAACGCCAUUGAUACAGAGUGAAAAAAUUACGAGAUGAGCAAGAGGGGUCGUG